UCCUAAGGUGGCCAUCUUUGUUCUUACUCCCUUUUCUUACAUUUUUCGUAUUCUUCUAUUCAUGUCAGGUGUGAAAGCCCCCGGCUCAACCGGGGAACUGCGCUUGAAACCGAGUGGCUCGAGUCAGCUAGAGGUACACGGAACUUCCAGUGGAGCGGUGAAAUGUGUUGAUAUUGGAAGGAACACCGGAGGCGAAAGCGGUGUACUGGGGCUGGUCUGACGCUGAGGCACGAAAGCCAGGGGAGCGAACGGG
rnacentral:rRNA from 1 species